UGCAUUUUAAGGCUUUCAUUUAGUGGUGGGA
rnacentral:piRNA from 1 species